CAAUGUUUUAUAAAUGUAGUCUCUCAAUUGUUCUGUACUUAUGUUUGGAGUUCCAAACUCCUGAAUUAUGUCUGAUCCAUCGUAGAACUUCCCGUAACAUAUUAGACAUGAAAAAAGCUAAGUAAUAAUUUAGAGGUCAGAGACUCUGAGUAGACAUUAUAUCCAAACAUGGUUUAUGAGCAGGAAGAUUAAAUGUAAUAAAUUUUAGGGCAAAUUACACUAACCUCCCCUGAGGUCUUUUUAAAUAACACAAACACCCCCUCUAGUUUUUAAGUGAUCACUAACCUCCCUUAUUUUUCUAUCAAAUAGACAAACACCUCCCUUUCACCUUAACUCCUUCACUUUUGCUCACACAAACUGAGUUCUUUUACUUAUUGGUCAACAUAUUUUCUUCAACUGUUGCACUCGUUCUAUUUUCUUCAACAUUUUAUGAAACUGCUAUUCUAAGACAGGUUUCCAUUUUUUUAAUACGCUAAAUGAUAAAUAAUCAUGUUUGAAAGAAAAUCUAACAAAG
rnacentral:lncRNA from 1 species